AGCCACAGCUUCAAAGGCCAUUAACUCCAUUUCCUGGAUCAAGAUUCUGAGGCUUUCUUUGGGCAUCAGCCAUACCGUCCAAGAGGGAAGAGGGAAAAAGGUGGAACUGCAGCCACAUGGAGCAAUCUGGAAUCAAAUGGGAGAAGUUUGUGCCAUGCAGGCUGGUGGAACAACUGGGAUUUUACUUUACAAUGGGUUAUGGCUGAGACACUUCUAACACAAGACAGAUUAACAAGAGAGAAGCAUACGUAUUCAUGUAAUAUAAGUUUUAUGUGACAUGGAGGACUUCACGAGGAAAGAAAGACUCCAAGAAACAGUUUCCUAGAGCAAUUAACCAGUAUCUGCUAAAUAUAAUACAUGCUCCUCGAGAAGAAUAGAAAUCUGUGUUCAAUAUCCAUUAAUCCUAUGGGAAUGGUAUCUCGACUUCCUUUUGAAGAGCUGCUUCCUCCCGAAAAGCCUAUAUUGGCUGGAUAAAUAUAGAAAGAAGUCAAUCAAAGCACUGCACACUCAAGAGUGGUAGCCAUAAAGAUAGUAGGACAUUCUGCAUCUUGCCCGUGGAAUAUACUGUAUCAAUAACAGCCUCCAUGCACCCAGAAUCCUUCCUUUAAAACAGAAUCAACAUAUCAGAGCUGAUAGGAAUAAAAGAGAAACUGCAACCUGGUGACACCAUUUGAAUUCUAGUUGAGCAAUGCCCUGAACUUUAGUUAUAUGAAUUACUAAAUUGAGUUGUUGGUCAAGCCCAUUUGUGUUGGGUUUUUGAUUACUUACUAGUGACUAAAAGAAUCUAUGAAACAUAGACAAAAUCUAGUUUGUUUACUUCAUUUCCCCAGAGCCUAACUUGGUAAUAGGUGCUCAAUAAAUAUAUGUGAAAAUGUAUUAAUUUUAAAAACAUCCCAACCAACAAUAUUGUUCUAUCUCCACUCAACAUUUUCUCUGUCCUUCCUCAGCAAGUAUAGAAGAGCCUACAUCAAGAUAUCAAGGCAAUCAAGCCUACAUCUUGACAAUGAAAAAUGCAUUUCCUCUUAUAAGAUCAAGAGCUCUCAGUUUCUGCUUAACUAAGAUACCACUCUGAGCAAUAGAAAAAUUGUUACAUUCCUUCACUUCUACUUUGAAUUUGCCAAUUAUCAAAUGUUACCCUAGUUUUCAACACCAGGAGAAAUGUUCCCCUCCUGCUCAUGCUUUCCACCACCAUAUCCCCAAAUGAAUUUCCAUUCAUUCAGAAAUUGUUGCUCUGCCCUUGAACUUAGAGGUUAUUGAGAUUUUGUUAUUGAGAUUUAUUGAGAAAUGUUUUUGACCUGGAUUUCUCUGGUAGCAAACUGUCAAAUGAACCCAAAAAAGCACUUUUUGUAAGAGAACACUGUGAGUAGGAUUGGAAAUUAACAGAGAAUCAAAAGCCUUAGAAUUUAUUUUUUACUUUGCCAGUGAUUUCCAGCACAACUUGGGAAAGCCAUUAUUUCAUUUGGUUUUGCUUUUUCCCUGCUUCUUUGAAAAACAGAGCUAGAAAUAGCUCAGAAUAGAACAGUCACAUUGUUUUAGAAGUAGAAGGACACUAGUUGAAGAAAGAUUUAAAUAUUAAAAUCUUUAAUUUGUAAAUAUGAAAGUAGAUAAGUUGAACACUGAUGUGUUCAUUAAAUCUCGGGGUAUUAAGAGACACAGACUGAAUUUCCAGGGAACACAUUUAGAUAUAACAAAAGAAAAUUAUACUUUCUAUAGAAAGAGUAAAGUCAUUUUUUAAAAAUCCAUGAAUAAGAGAUCCAUAACUGGAUUAAGAGGAACUACGGUGAUUUGUAGUAUGUUCCACAGAGAGAGAGAAAGCUGGACUUGAUUAAUCUAGGUCUGACCCAUAAAAAUUCUUAUAUUUAUGUUCUUUAUCUGACUAUAAAUUAAAUCCAAAAGUUCUUAGAAGGAUUUUGUUGCUGAGGGCCUGAGAAUGCUCAGGACAAGGAAAAUAGAAAUAGAAAUUAUUUUAUUUCAAUGUACAGGUUCCUAUAAAUACAGUCUCCUAGAAAUGGAGCCCUUAUCCCUGACCAAUUUUCCUGUAUAGUCUGGUUCAUAGUAGAACUAAAGCACAGACCACAGAGUUGGAUGCCCUGAAAUUUAACCCCCAGUCUUCUAAUAACUAGCUGUGUAAUCUUUGAACCCUAGGCUACAGAAUCUUCAUUUGUUAAAAAAAAAAAAAAAAGAAGUUUGGAUCUAACUGUAAUUUAAAACCCCUUAAGCCUAGCAAGAAAACCCCACAAGACAGACAUUAGAAUUUUCUUUAUUCGAAGAAUGUGGAGAAUAGGAGAAUUUUUAGGCAUCUUUAAAUCCAAAGCAGUUUGCGCAUAGUAAAGAACAAUGCACAAAGGAUCACUGUGUGUGGAAUAAAUAGAAGAAUGCACAGACUACCUGGAAAAAUAACUAAGUCUAAAUGCUCUACCAUGCAGUUUCCUACUUAUGUUUCACCCUCUCUCCAAGAAGCUGAGUGCUGCAAAGAUCAGGAACAUGAGGGUUAACUUCACCCCUUUGUGACUAACAGUGCUGCAGGCUAUGACAAGUAAUCUUUCAUUGCUUGACUAGAUAACAAUGGGAAUAAAACAUUCCCUAUUUUUUUAUCAAAUACAAUAUUUGCCAUUUGUUGUUAGGGAACAUGAUGAAGUUAAACUACCAAUCUUACCCUCUAUGUUCCUCUCUCAUUCACAACUUACUCAAACAAAAUUUUGGCUGAUACUUUAGAAUCUCUUAAAAAACACUCAAUGUUGAAAAUGUUUGCUUUAUUCUGUCCAAUAUCCAACUUUCAAAUUAAAAAAAAAAAAGUGAACAGGAAAGAGGCUUUUUCUUGAUUGCAAACUCAUCAGGGAGGUUGUGAAUUUUUUGCAGAUAAAUUGCUUAAGGUACAUUGACUUUGUAAUUUGUGUGUGGCUAAUUGGAUUGCCUGAUUAAAGGACAUAGCCAUUGUUUCAAGGUAGCAAUUGCUAGGCUGGAGUGCCCUGGUGGCUGAAAAGGCCUCUGGUGUGUAAUUCUACACCUCUGAACUGAUGCGAUUAGUGGUGUCUACAGCCAAAAGAAAACCAAGAAACUUCUUACAGUGGCCUGUCCUGGUAAGGAAUGCAGUCUUCCCGCAGUCUCAGGGAUUCUUAUGAAUUCUACAGAGCCUCUAUCUUAAGACUUAUACAUGACUUAAGAUCAGAACUCCAGAUGUAUGGAUGCCAUAUUGUACCAGCAUUGGUCCUCAUUAACAUUGAACUCCAAAUGAGCUACAUACCUAACCACUAGGAGUCACAAUCAUUAUACUCUCGUCUAUCUUUGUCAAGCCACCCUUUAUUAAAAUUAGCAAUGUUAACUAUGUUAAAGCAAUAGAACUAAAAGGUCUGUUUCACAUAAACCUUUACCAUGAAUGUUUUGAUAAUGUGAAAUGUCAUGUGAUCCGAGAUCUGGUUUA